rnacentral:rRNA from 1 species
UGGGGAAUAUUGCGCAAUGGGGGCAACCCUGACGCAGCAACGCCGCGUGAAGGAAGAAGGCCUUCGGGUUGUAAACUUCUUUGAUCGGGGACGAAACUGACGGUAUCCGAGGAACAAGCCACGGCUAACUACGUGCCAGCGGCCGCGGUAAUACGUAGGUGGCAAGCGUUGUCCGGAAUUACUGGGCGUAAAGGGCGUGUAGGCGGGGCGGCAAGUCAGGUGUGAAAUCCCGGGGCUUAACUCUGGAGCUGCAUCUGAAACUGCUGUUCUUGAGUGCUGGAGAGGAAAGUGGAAUUCCCAGUGUAGCGGUGAAAUGCGUAGAGAUUGGGAGGAACACCAGUGGCGAAGGCGGCUUUCUGGACAGUAACUGACGCUGAGGCGCGAAAGCGUGGGGAGCAAACAG